GGAGAGGUGUCCGAGUGGUUGAAGGAGCACGCCUGGAAAGCGUGUAUAGCUUAACAGCUAUCGAGAGUUCGAAUCUCUUCCUCUCCGCCA
rnacentral:tRNA from 3 species